GCCUGGUGUUGUUGUUGUUGUGGAACACGUGUUCGACGCACGCUGCCCCUAGAGUCAAUUACCAGCAGAGUGAGCAGACCUCACCCAGUGCCUAAGGAAGGACCUGUUCCUCGGAGAAAACGCGGAAGGUGAGAGAAAGAUGGGGGAUGACACGCAGCAAGGGGCCACAGGUCGGAAUAAAACCUGUGCCGUUGCAAAGAACUCAUGGGCCUGCAUGGGGCGCACGCUCUACUGGGUGAGCUGGAGGGCAUCCGAGGAAGCUGAUUGGCCACACCGUCUGACCAGGAACGUGGACCAGCAGUAACGGGGAGCAGCAGGAACGUGGAGCAGCAGGAACAUGGACCAGCAAGACCGUGGACCAGCUGUUUGUUAUUGACGCAAAAAGUCUCCUUUGCUGUCAUAUUUAGAGGCUCUGGGUCGGGACAUAUGUUUAACUGACAUGCAGCACAGGAACGGGACAGUUAGGCUUAGGAAAAGAUGAUCUCCUCUAGAGCAGUGAUGUUUUGGGGCUGAAUAUCUCCCGGAACCUUUAAUAUAGGGCUCGCUUCGCUGGGGACUCUUUUAGCCUGAACACUCUGGAGAGGAGACACAACAGAGGGCUGACCUCCAAUCAACACCAGCUGCAACCUUCACAAAACAGAUAUAUUAAUAUUUUCCAAUAAACAUUCAAAACUGUUGUUCCUCAUUUUAUUUACCCGUAACAUAAUGAGCUACAAUGUACUAAUGCUGCAAAAUAUUAGUGAUGAAGAGGACCUUCAUUACAAGAACCUAUUUUAACCUAAAUUAAUACUGAUA